rnacentral:lncRNA from 1 species
CUCGACCGGUUAGUCAUUAACCGAGCAUCCAAGAAGGCUUCCAACGUCAAGAGGAUCAUCAUUCAACCAACCAUCCUACUUCCUUUCUUGCUUAUGGUUUGAAUCCUUUGAUUUCUAAUCAUGAAUUUUGGUAGUUUAGUAAGCUUUGUUGUAGUUCUUGUAAUCCUUAUGGGCUAAACACAUUUAUUAUCUGGAUUAUGAUGAAACUAUUUUUAAUGUAAUGAUUAUUAUGUAAGAAAUUAUGCUGAUACUUGUUACAUUAUAG